rnacentral:rRNA from 1 species
UACGUAGGGUGCGAGCGUUGUCCGGAAUUACUGGGCGUAAAGAGCUCGUAGGCGGUUUGUCGCGUUGUUCGUGAAAACUCACAGCUCAACUGUGGGAGUGCGGGCGAUACGGGCAGACUGGAGUACUGCAGGGGAGACUGGAAUUCCUGGUGUAGCGGUGGAAUGCGCAGAUAUCAGGAGGAACACCGGUGGCGAAGGCGGGUCUCUGGGCAGUAACUGACGCUGAGGAGCGAAAGCGUGGGGAGCGAACAGG